AUCCUAUCGUUCCAGAUAAAGAGGAAGCCCCAAUACCAGGAGAUAGCCAGCCAAGGCCUCCUGGACUCAUAGAGACCUGUGCCGCCUGCGAGGGAGCCCGAGAGAGCUAAGAGAAUCCACAGACCAAGGAACUGUGGAGACGUGGACCUGGAGGAGGCAUGGAAACCUCUGAUCAAAGGCAACUGUUGUCACAGUGAUUGAUGAAAAUUCCAGUGAUGCUCUGAAUUCAGCCUCUAAACCAGCUCAUCGACAUUCCUCUUUGCGGGAGUGUCUUCUAGUUUCCGGUAGAACCCCAACAUGGGAUCACGCUCUCCUGUGAAUGCAUCAGAAGUGGAGCAGCAUUACAGCAGGGACCCACGGGGAACCAGGGAAAGACAGCUGAUUCGGGCUCUGUCUCUCUGAAGAAGACACACUGUUUUCUCUUCCAUGACACCAGCAAGAAAUAUUCCUUAAUGCUAAUUCAGAGAGACUGUGCAUAUUAAUACUCAGUCAUGGCAAAUAGAUGUUAAAAAUCUUUGGUCUUUAUUAAAAAAGAUACAUUUACUACUCAAUCUUGGGCACCAUGGGUUCACUCAGCAUAGUAGAACCAUUUAUUCAUAAUGCACCUCUUCUUUCUGGCAUUAAAUUCAAUGCUGUUCACUAAUGGCAAAAAUGCUUGGCACAAGCAGCAGACCAUAUUCUGUCAAAAAGAGGUCCUUGCAUGACACUAUUCCCAAGAGAUUUGCUUCAGUUAAAAGCAUUUUUCUGUCCUGUGGAUAUUUGUGUACGUGUCUGAUUGAGUGGAAAAAACUGCUGGAGAAAAAUGAGAUCACAAACGUAUGUUUUGGCUGCCAUCAAGUCAAUACAGCAAUAGGUUGGUGAAAACAUCAAAACACAAUCACAGCUGCCGUCAGUGUCUGCUGCAGGCUUCACCGGGCAGUCAGCCAGCCAAGGUCAUUCUUUUACAUCUCAUCAGUGAUCAUGAAGGAAAUAAAUAUGAGGAUCAUGAUUUUUGUCAAAAAGUUGAUGUGGUUGCCCUACAGAAGAUAGUCUCUGAAUACUCUUAUUAAGUAAAUGUGUUCAUUUGACUAGUCGAUAAACUGAAAUGUAACAAUUAGGGAUUGACAAACAGGUGAAUCUGUGUUUGCAAAUAAUUCCCACAGAAAAAUAGGCUACAGUUCCAGACGGACUUGUGGAAACUGACAUAUAUUUAAUAUGUCAACGCUGGGACAUUUUGUAGACAUUAAGGGGAAUGCAAGUAUAUCUAUGUACACAAGAAAGCUUGUAGUCACUACUUUCAUGUUAAUUAUAAUAACUUGAAUCUGAAUAAAGAAUAUGAUCAAACCAAUAUUACCUUGCAAAACCAAGGCAAUGAUGCUUUAACAGUUAUAUUAAUAUAUAAAUCAUAAGAAAAAAGCUAAUAUAUGGUACAUGAAAGUUUGAAAUCCUCUCCCUCACUAUGGUGAAAACUUGCUCUUUUAGCAGAAUUUUAAUUAUAUGCGUUAUAGGAGAAAACAAUUUUUAAUAUAUAAGACAAUAAAAAAAGUUACCACCCGUUCUUACAUAUGCACUGUGCUAGUUGGAAACCAUUUAAACCAGAAGCAAUGUUUAUGUCCAUGAGCUAAGCAGUGAUAGAAAACAGGAAAAUAGUAGUUUUGAUGUCUGACAUUGCCUAUGUUCAAUGUGUAUUUUACACAGAGCAGGGUGAAUGGCUUGUAUUCUAGAAUAACUCAGUGUUUUUAGUGGGAGGGAUAGAAACAUGAAAAAUUGUAAUGCAGUGUGAUAACAUAUUUAAAUUAUGAAGAGCUGUAGAAAAACAAAG
rnacentral:lncRNA from 1 species